CGAGGCGAGGGUUAGGACCAGCGUCCCAACCGGUGUGGAGAGGAAGGAGGGAGCGAGCUGUCGCGGCGUGGGGGAGGGAGGAACGACGAGCAGGCCUAUCGGCGGCCAGCGGCGUAGGGAAGAGGGGGAAGGAGGAGGAAGGAGGAAGGGCGACCGCGGUUGUUCCCCCGGAGGACGUACCUGCCGGUCCAGAAGCUUGGCCCCCAUCUCCUCGUCCCCUCCCGGUUCUUCGGCCGCCACCCCCACCUCUUCGGUCCUCCCGGUUCUUCGGUCGCCACCCACACCUCGUUGAUCCUCCCGGUUCUUCGGCCGCCACCCCCAUCUCCUCGUCUCCUCCCGGUUCUUUCGGCCGGCCCUCGUGUGGUGGCAUCCGCAGUUCCCUCGGCACCUGUUCGGCAGUCCUCCUCUUUCGAGGGUCAAACUCCUCCUCUGAUGCCGUGUCUAACUAAACCAUGACAUACACCACACCACACGGGAACGGUCCUUAUAGAUUACACACAGUACUGUGUUAGUUAACAUCUCUAUGUUUGGUCUACAUUUGUUUCUCCUAUACCUAAGUCAUGCCGGUGCUCACUUCCUUACGACAAGGUUAAACCUAGAACCUCUUACAAAAGAGUGACACCAAGUCCAAUUUGACAACAAGAUGACAAGGAUGAGUCGGAGGAUUACAAGAUACAGAACUACGCGGAAGAAGGUCGAAGAGAUAACCAAAAGAGAAGUGUGAAUACAUUCAUGUACAAGGAGGGAAGGAGGUUUAGAAGGGGCCGGUACCAGCAAACGUAGACCAGUAUCAACAAACGUACAAAGUGAAAGCAACCACGAAGUACGCAGCCAGAGUCACGAGAUUCGUCUGGUUGUAAAGAGUAAAACCGCUAACAUAAUAACCCCGAAACGAUGUACACAUCCAAACUUAACUACCGAUCUUUAUGUCUCACGGUAAAAAAGAAUACCUCACUAUUAAUUCUUCUGUAUGUAUCGACGUUUCCCUAACGAGUUUACUUUGUUCAACGAUUAAAACAUAGAAACUGUGAGUACCUUUUCCACGUACGGUUAGGAUUAAUAUUGGUAUAGUGUAUAUACACCUUGACGUAAUAUGCUUACCACAAUAGUCCUACUAUCUAAAGUCAGUAUCUUGACUUGACAAGGAAAAGAACCACAUAUACACAGUAUAUGUCUUAAGUCUUUUUUUUUAACCUGUGAUGUUAAGUAUAUAAAUGAUAAAUCUUAGCUCUGUAGGUUAGUACAAUCCUAUACUAUACCAGAAGAAGGUCCCCGAGAUUCAUAAUACUUACACGUAUAGGACUAUGUACAUUAAUAUUCCACCAAUGUUCGAUCGACCUGUACACACCGUUUUACGAACGUAAAGUCAAAUACAUCCUUCUCCUCGUAGUUAUGGAUGAAGAGGACGGGACAUAUACAUUGCAGAAACAAGGUUCGUUAAUCAUAUACCAUAAUCUCUAAGAAUAUAAGUAUAUAAACAAACUUUGAACCACCUAAGGAUGGUAGAGAUAUAUUAAUGUUGUUUUGGUUAUCCAGUCUCGCUACACAGAGAAUCACGGUAGCUAACCCAUGUAUGCUUCGGAGAGUAGGGUGUCCAAGUAACAAAGAUGGAGUUUGGUUAGGACGGAGGAUUUAAUAACUAUGUACACAACGAAGUAAGUAAAUAAAACUCUUGUGUAUAAUUUGACCAAACUCCAUUAAACAAAAAAAAAAACAAAAAACAAAAAACUCUAGUGUAUAAUUUGACUAUUGUGGUAGGGAACCGGAGGAACCAGCAUAGUUAUUAACAUGGACUUGUCACUGUUUAGAGUUCGCUGACAACAUGGACUUGCCCACACCUUGGUUUAUCACCAUGGCACAAGACUCUAGACAAAAAAACACGACGAUAGACGUCCUUUUAAGGAUCCCUAAACCAACUACCUCCGUAGCGAUAAACAGCGACCUAAUAGGUAAAAACGUCGUGGUCGUUUCAACAAAAACAAACCUUACCGGUCAAGAGUUAAAGAUUUAGUCGAUAUGAUAUGAAGAACAGUCCAAUGUAAUAGAACGAAGCAAAGUCAGAUAUACAUCGUGUUUUUAUGAUCCACUGUACCAACCAAACAUACAAUGUGAUUACUUGUGGUGGUAUUCCUUUUCCCGUAACGUGAAGAAACAAUUAUAAACCAGACAAGGAUAAGCCACUGUAUGAUAAGACCAACCAAUCGAAGUGCGAGAUUUCGAUCCUAAAAUUAAGAAACUCACAUUCAUUACAUAACAAUAUGGUCUACUUUAUAUACGUCUGUGACGAUUGUACUAAAAAGAAUAUCCGCCUUCAUAUAAAAAAUUUAGGUAGACAAGUUAAGAAUCCUGGUAUGAAAUGAUCUUCAGGUCUUGAUACACUAAACCAUUAACACAGUUUCGAGCGGACCAACACGGCAUAACGUAACACUUACGAUACAACAACCCCUUAGUCGCUCGAACCAAUAUAAAGACACCGACAGUACAAUUGACCACCGGCAUCACGAAGAACGAUCGAUGCUCAAGAAGAACACACAAACGAAUCACCGAAUCAAUACACACACACACACACAGGCCCGUGGACAACACAAAAAACGAACGAACAACCACGCACGUACUAACAACACUGACCCGCGACCAACAAGCCACGACCCGACGACUACCGUACGAUGGACGAAGCUUUUUUCCUUACUUUCCUUCGUAAACAAGUAUCUUGUUUAUAUAACAUUUAAAAAGGUAGCUUUCGGACGUAUAAAUCGUUCCUUUUCCUCAGAUAUCUCGGAAUCCAAGAACAAUAUACAACUAAAACGUUUUAAAGACGUCGAUAUAUAAACGAGUUAGGUUUUCUGUUUAACAUGAGUUGGAAGUCAUAUUACAUAAAGAUUAACAAGUAUUGACGAAUUAAAAAACAACACUAAAACGUUCUAUAACUUUAAUAACAUAAAGCUUUAACAAUGUGACUAAGGAGCUACGAGACAAGUACCGAAAAAAUAAUAAAAUAGGAAGAAACGAAAAAAGGAAAGGAUGUUCUUCUACAGCUCAGUACAUUAUACAAGUUUCUUCUCUCUUAGACGUAAAAUACUUAGGAAAGAAGAAAGAAGUAACAAUGAAGUUCAAUCACUUAGUAAAUUCAACAUAACUCGUCGAAGUACACUACCAAAGAAGCAGAUGUGUAGAAUAAGUCAGUGCUCCGGUCAUUCUAGAAAACGGAAAAUCCUUUUUCCCUCUACGGUAAAUCUGGAAUGAGAAGGUUGAACUAGAAAUUGAACGAUGAUGACAAAGAUUCGUAAAAAAUAAACGAAGUCUCCUACUCGAGUGGAAUAAGUCACCUACACGGUUCAUUUUUUUUAAUCUUUGACUCGUUAAUCAAGGUGAGAAUAUAAAACAUGUCGUCAGGUUUAAUAGGUUAUUUAGUAAACAAUCGUCCCAGUUUAAUAUCUUCAACUUAGUCAACAAGGUUUAAUGGGUCACUCUGAAUAAGGUAAACAAAUAGGAAAACAGGAAAAUUAGUUCUUGUUACAAAUCUCGAAUGUACCAACAGCUUUAAAUCAAUACAUUUUCUCCUUAUAACUAUAGUACGUUACUAGUCACGUCUAAUCCUAUCAAUAUCUCAAGAAGGAGUCAAAAGUAACUCGUUUCUAACUUAGACAUACUAAACAAGAUUAUGGUUCAUUUAGAACCAGACGUAACACAAUCAAAAGGGUGACUCAAAAAAACCGAUAAAAGCAAAUUUAACCAUCAACUACACUUUUUCACACAACUGUACGUACAUUGGUUUAGUACAUAAUUACACUCCAUGAUGUAUAUGAACGGAUAGAGAAAGGUCUUCUUGUCGGGAGAACUAGGUUGAUCCUUGUAGUUUUGGUUUACCCUAUAGUAACUCACCUGAAGUCUACCGGUACGACACUCAUGUGGUAAUCAUAGACUUAGACGAAACAUAUUAAUUCUGUGUGAAAGAUGUAUAGGGACGAUAUAACUAUGGUACACUAGUGAAUUGUACUCACACUGAUCGGAUAAAAGAACGGAUUGACACACUAACGUACAUCAUUACGUACCGAAGAGAUAAAUUUACCUCUCAACACAAAUAGUAUUAUUAAUAUAUGGUGUCUGAACAAAGAAAGACAAAUAUAUUAUUACGUCAAGCAGAAGAUGUUAUACAAAAGAAGUAAUGUACAGAAGAUUAACAAGUAGAAAAAAAGAGAAAGCUGCUGUUUUAUUGAAGCGCAAAACUUUAUAAAUCAUGCGGUAGUACCAGAAAGAAUUCCCACAAGUACGGAAAAAAGGAAGAUAUUUAAUCACCAGAAGAUAAGUACAAUGCUUGGGGUUAUACCGUAGAGCGGUAAGGGGUGCUAGGUGUACAAUUCAUACCUAAAUAAAUUACUAUUAAACUAUAGUUGACGGAAAAGAAGUCCUAUUAGACUGUGGAUUAUUCCUGGUUCUCUUGUUGUUUCUAAGAUUCCCCGUUGGAAAACCCAAAUUCCUAUAUUUGUUGUACAGAAUACUCCUAAACUUGACGACAAGAAAAUCAAGGUGAGAAUUUACAAAACCAAGAACUUCCGGACGUGAAAGGACCACCUCAUCCUCGUUUUAUUAAAUCUCCGAAAUUUCGACGACGUGAAAUCAUCAAUCCUAGUUAAGAAACAAAACCAAACUUUACGAGGAGUUAAGGAGGAUAAACUAACAUAGGUUUCCUGUACUUUAUAUAAGUCUUUCGCAGUCAAAACAUAAGACACACACGAAAGUCAAUUAGGAAGUUUUAAAGUACUAUGUAGCCCAAAUAUUUCCCGAUAGAGUGUUCGUGAACUAUCGUUCUCUUAAUGAGGUACUGUAACGGAGUUAACGUACAUUACCGAUAAGAGGUUUUAUUCUAACAACGAAUGAAACGAAUGGUGGUAGAGUAGGGUCCGGGAGAUCGAUAUCAGUACCUUUUCUACCACAAGCCUCGAUAUAGAACCUUUUAUAAAGAACAGUAAGGUAAUUUAAAGCCUCUAUACCUCCUCGACCUGUACCUACCGCUCUUCCGCCGGUCUGGUCUCAAGCGGAUGGGGAUGACGAUACUCCUGGUACUCCAACGGAGGAACACGCGCGUACAUCUUCUCCUCGUGGGUAACCUCACCUCUAUAUCAAACGUGUUACAAGACCAGGUCGUUUCAUAAAAUCUACACGUUUUCUCAUCACAGAACCCCAUCUUUUAAUUAUAACUAGAACUUUGGAGCUCUAUCUUUUUUCUCGAAAAGUGUAAACAACAACAACUCAGGACUGAUCGUUAAUAUAUUGGGAGUCCGGAGUCAUCGUUAAUACAAUGGAAGAAUAAACAAGAGUCCAAUGAACGGAAGAAGAAAGUUGGGUAGAGAGAUUCUUAAUAUCACGUCCAAAACAUCCCGUCCAAUUUCUUGGGUUAUGUUACGAGAAACUCAGCUCAAAAAAA
rnacentral:rRNA from 1 species